CCUGCUCUCCGGGAGGAUAACAACAGACAAAGGGAAAGUUUCUUUCCCAAUUUUAAAAGUUCUAGCCUUCCCAUGGGUUCUUUUGGUCAGAUGCCACUCCUUCCCUUAUACUUAUGGGCUUGUUAACUCUUUACAGGUAAAGCAAGCAGAGAACAGACACCAAGAGGGAUUU